rnacentral:rRNA from 1 species
GACGUAGGUGCCGAGCGUUGUUCGAAAUCACUGGGCUUAAAGCGUGUGUAGGUGGAAUUGUAAGUGCUUUGUGAAAGCCCCCGGCUCAACCGGGGAACAGCUUGGCAUACUGCAAUUCUUGAGGUAGGUAGGGGUGUGUGGAACUCUCGGUGGAGCGGUGGAAUGCGUAGAUAUCGAGAGGAACGCCCGUGGAGAAGUCGGCGCACUGGGCCUUACCUGACACUAAAACACGAAAGCGUGGGGAGCAAACAGG